AGAAGGAGGCAAGUAUGUGAUAUGCUUUGUUUCAACUUUGCUUCAGCUUUAUAUGGUGGCACUGGAUUCAGAGACCUGAUAUGGAAAAACCGACUGAGGGACACUGUCAUGAUGGGGCGCUACAAAAAACGGAAGAUGGUAUCCUGCAUGGUGAAGUCCAAUGUUCUCAAAAGUAAACAGUUGAUGAAACCUGGCUACUGACACCACUUUGGAUUCUGAGAUUAAUGGGGAAUGGUACACUAUUAUCCUGGCUUCUGACAAAAGAGAAAAGAUAGAAGAACAUGGCAGCAUGAGACUUUUUGUGGAGCACAUUCAUGUCUUGGAGAAUUCCUUAGCUUUUAAACUCCAUACUGUAUGAUGGAUUCAAUACAUUUACUAUACUGAAGACAGAAUAUGAUAAUUAUAUUAUGUUUCAUCUCAUUAAUGAAAUGAAUGGGGAAACCUUCCAGCUGAUGUUGCUUUAUGAUCACUGCCUCCAGGCCCUAGAAUGAAGAUUGGCCUGAGCCUCCAGUGUUGAGUGGAGACUUCUCACCAGGACUCCAGCAUCAUCCCUUCCUAUCCAUACAGCAUCCUGUGACAAGUUUUGUGAUCUGCUUUCCAUCAUG